GAGGCUUGUUCAACAAUUCCUUAUAAGAUCAUGACUAAUAUCUUUGUAGAUUAUCUAUUCUUGGAAGGCUGAGCAUGCGGCUCGAAAAGAAUGGCAGGUAGUUGUUCUUGAAGAUAUGAUUUGAAAAGUUGCCCUUCAAGGAAACUAUAGCUUUUUAUUUGCCUGAAAUUAGAGAAUAAAAUAAAUUGGAGGCAGUGAUGAGAUCUCUGAAAUAUGAACUUUGGCUUUGUAAUGUGAGU
rnacentral:lncRNA from 1 species